rnacentral:rRNA from 1 species
UACGUAGGAUGCUAGCGUUGUCCGGAUUUACUGGGCGUAAAGCGCGCGCAGGCGGCACUGUAAGUAAGGUGUGAAAUCUCCCUGCUCAACGGGGAGGGUGCACUUUAGACUGCAGAGCUAGAGGACGGUAGAGGGGGGUGGAAUUGCUGGUGUAGCGGUGAAAUGCGUAGAGAUCAGCAGGAACACCCGUGGCGAAGGCGGCCCCCCUGGGCCGAACCUGACGCUGAGGCGCGAAGGCUAGGGGAGCGAACGGGG